rnacentral:lncRNA from 1 species
AAAUUCAUUAAGUAUAUUUAAAGGAUGUUUAGAACUGAAAAUUAAGUGUGAGCUUUCAUAUAAACAUCUUCAGGAGGCUUCCAGGCAUGAAGUGGGCAGAUGGGGACAGUGAAGUGCUGGUAAAUGUUGAACGAUGGGCUGAGAGUGGAGCAGAGCCCUGACUGGCAGCGUUUGUCAGCUUCCAUGCUGUAAAAUCCUCCCACGAUAGCUGAUUUCAAGCUACCAACAUAAUAUCAACCAGCUCGCACAAUUCCAGAAAUAUAACAACUGGCUCUUGGGAACCACUAUGAGCUGGCUCUGGCACACUCCUGAAUGGAGACCCAAUGCCGGGAAAUGGAUGGAACCACAUACGCAAGAUGUGGAAAUUUGCUGACCCCCGGUGUAGACCCACCAGACCAGGAGCAAAUGCUUUAGUCAGCUAGAGCUUGCAGCACUGGGCUAUCUUCUCCACUCUACAGCCUACACAUGCUGGCCGCCUUUCUCUUCCUACUUCCUGGUGCCCCAUCGUACCUUUUGACGAAGCCAGCCUCGGUUGAUCCAAUGCACUGAUGUCUACAUUUCUGAACAAUGAGCCUGAGUCAUUACAGGAUCAUACAGGGAGUCAGGACGCAG